rnacentral:rRNA from 1 species
AUUGAACGCUGGCGGCAGGCCUAACACAUGCAAGUCGAACGAGUGGCGGACGGGUGAGUAAUGUCUGGGAAACUGCCUGAUGGAGGGGGAUAACUACUGGAAACGGUAGCUAAUACCGCAUACCAUCGGAUGUGCCCAGAUGGGAUUAGCUAGUAGGUGGGGUAAAGGCUCACCUAGGCGACGAUCCCUAGCUGGUCUGAGAGGAUGACCAUCCACACUGGAACUGAGACACGGUUCAGACUCUUACGGGAGGCAGCAGUGGGGAAUAUUGCACAAUGGGCGCAAGCCUGAUGCAGCCAUGCCGCGUGUAUGAAGAAGGCCUGCGGGUUGGAAAGUACUUUCAGCGGGGAGGCGUUACCAACAGAAUAAGCACCGGCUAACUUCGUGCCAGCAGCCGCGGUAAUAC